ACGUAGGUGACAAGCGUUAUCCGGAAUUACUGGGCGUAAAGCGCACGCAGGCGGCUGAUUAAGUCUGACGUGAAAUCUCCUGGCUUAACUGGGAGGGGUCGUUGGAAACUGGUCGGCUUGAGGCAGUGAGAGGGGUGUGGAAUUCCCGGUGUAGUGGUGGAAUGCGUAGAUAUCGGGAGGAACACCAGUGGCGCAAGCGGGUGCCUGGGCGACGACUGACACUGAGGGACGAAAGCGUGGGGAGCGAACAG
rnacentral:rRNA from 1 species